ACACCUGAGUCAUCUGUUACAUAAUUUUACGCCACGGUACGCGUACAGGGCAACGGUUGCGGCACCAGCAACACAUGUUGAAUGCGAACGCACGCAUGAAUAGCAAUAGAUUUUGAGAGCUGGACCUUAGCAGAAUUCAUUGGACACAAGUUCAAGCCAUCCAAACUGCUCAGUUACAGGAGGUGAAGAAUUGCACCAGUACGUGUAAGACAAUCAGUUUUCUGAGGUUCAUAUUCUCUGGGGGGGGGGGGGUCAUGUCAGUUGGAUAACCGUCGAAACGUACCAAACUAAGAACAAAAUGGCGACGACGAUGGAGUUAGCUGCGAGAAUUUUCAUGCUUGUGUCACUUGCUCUGUGUGUGCAUGCUGCACAAGACUUACAGGAAGCCACUAGUAUCGAGGUGCCUCCGGGAUACAGGUUAGCUAUAACGCUGAGCGGGAAGGGAUAUCAACACUAUCGAUUUAACGGCACGGACUGGGUGAAUUUCAAAGCGAGAGCGAGGCUGUACAAUUGUGAUAAGAAACAGAUUGGACGUCAUUUCUACCUGCCGCAUCCAGAUGCUCUCGGCGGCCAACCCACCUGGGAGACGAUUCCUUCCAAGGGUGUUCCUUACAGCAUCGUGACAUGAAAACCAGUGGCGAAAACCACAAUCUCCAAGGGCUCCAUCCCCUGGGUUCUGCUCCAAGCCACGUCCUCUCAAUACGACAAAAGGUAUUUCGGAGCCGUGCGUUAUGUGCAACGAUUAAACACCAUGGGAGGAAUCGCACCCAGCAUCAAACUGAGCGCUCCCAAGGGGCGCGUCAGGAGGGCGCCCUACACCGCCGACUACGCCUUCUACGUUAAACAAUAGCUUGUCAGGAAGCUCAGAAACUCCAUCUUCACACCAGAUGUUGUUCUUAGUUUUCGCAGUGGCAGUUUCUACCUAAGGGUCUAUUGGACUCACACAUGAGCGUGAACUGGGCAUGGGUGGGAGUGCUCGCUAGUUCGGCAUCAGUCCAUCACCAAACUAGAAAGUGGUGAGAAACUCUGCUUCGUUGAUACAAACAAUUUUUUAGCAAAGUUGCUUUGCUAAUCAACAGAUUUCUGUGCAGAAAGACAACUCUGAUCUGCGAGUUUUCUCUGUGAGGGGCAACACUAUUUAUGCUAUUUAGAAAAAAAAUACAAUUUUUCUCGUUUUUUACUCUUAGGACCUUUAGGCUUAUUUUUUUGAAGUAUAAAGCUAAUUCGAGGACGCUUUUUGAUUUGAAUAAAUCAAAAAAUUUAAAAGUUUGAGGCCA